rnacentral:tRNA from 1 species
GCCUGGGUGGCUCAGUCAGUUGAGCAUCUGACUUCGGCUCAGGUCAUGGUCUCAUAGCUCGUGAGUUCGAGCCCCACAUUGGGCU